rnacentral:rRNA from 1 species
AACGAACGCUGGCGGCAGGCCUAACACAUGCCAGUCGAGCGCACCCUUCGGGGUGAGCGGCGGACGGGUGAGUAACGCGUGGGAACGUGCCCUUCUCUGCGGAAUAGCCUCGGGAAACUGAGAGUAAUACCGCAUACGCCCUUUGGGGGAAAGAUUUAUCGGAGAAGGAUCGGCCCGCGUUGGAUUAGGUAGUUGGUGGGGUAAUGGCCCACCAAGCCGACGAUCCAUAGCUGGUUUGAGAGGAUGAUCAGCCACACUGGGACUGAGACACGGCCCAGACUCCUACGGGAGGCAGCAGUGGGGAAUCUUAGACAAUGGGGGCAACCCUGAUCUAGCCAUGCCGCGUGAGUGAUGAAGGCCUUAGGGUUGUAAAGCUCUUUCAGCUGGGAAGAUAAUGACGGUACCAGCAGAAGAAGCCCCGGCUAACUCCGU